AGCGUAGGCGGGAUCGUGUGUCUGCCGUGAAAUCCACCGGCUCAACCGGUGAACUGCGGUAGAAACUACGAUUCUUGAGUUCGGUAGAGGAAUGCGGAAUUCCUGGUGUAGCGGUGGAAUGCGUAGAUAUCAGGAAGAACACCGGUAGCGAAGGCGGCAUUCUGGGCCGUAUCUGACGCUGAGGCUCGAAAGCCGGGGGAGCGAACAGGAUUAGAUACCCUGGUAGUCC
rnacentral:rRNA from 1 species